GACGAACGCUGGCGGCGUGCCUAACACAUGCAAGUCGAGCGAGUGAAUCUCCUUCGGGAGUGAAGCUAGCGGCGGACGGGUGAGUAACACGUGGGCAACCUGCCUCAUAGAGGGGAAUAGCCUUCCGAAAGGAAGAUUAAUACCGCAUAAGAUUGUAGCUUCGCAUGGAGUAGCAAUUAAAGGAGCAAUCCGCUAUGAGAUGGGCCCGCGGCGCAUUAGCUAGUUGGUGAGGUAACGGCUCACCAAGGCGACGAUGCGUAGCCGACCUGCGAGUGUGAUCGGCCACAUUGGGACUGAUACACGGCCCAGACUCCUACGGGUGGCAGCAGUGGGGAAUAUUGCAUAAUGGGGGAAACCCUGAUGCAGCGACGCCGCGUGAGUGAUGACGGCCUUCGGGUUGUAAAGCUCUGUCUUCAGGGACGAUAUUGACGGUACCUGAGGAGGAAGCCACGGCUAACUACGUGCCAGCCGCCGCGGUAAGAC
rnacentral:rRNA from 1 species